AAUUAACGUUAGCGGCGUGCCUGAUGCAUGCAAGUCGAACGCCCUGAUAAUUCGUAAGGAUUAUCAGGGAGUGGCGGACGGCUGAGUAACGCGUAAGUGACCUACCUUUAAGUGGGGAAUAACUUGCCGAAAGGCAGGCUAAUACCGCAUGUGCUGGUAAGUUGAGGCUUAUCAGCAAAGUCUUAGGACGCUUGAAGAGGGGCUUGCGUCUGAUUAGCUAGUUGGUUAGGGUAAUGGCUUACCAAGGCGAUGAUCAGUAGCUGGUCUGAGAGGACGAGCAGCCAGACGGGGACUGAGACACGGCCCUGACUCCUACGGGAGGCAGCAGCAAGGAAUUUUGCGCAAUGGGCGAAAGCCUGACGCAGCGACGCCGCGUGGGGGAUGACGGCCUUCGGGUUGUAAACCCCUCUUCUCGAGGAAGAAUAAUGACGGUACUCG
rnacentral:rRNA from 1 species